rnacentral:rRNA from 1 species
CCUACGGGAGGCAGCAGUGAGGAAUAUUGGUCAAUGGACGAGAGUCUGAACCAGCCAAGUAGCGUGAAGGAUGACUGCCCUAUGGGUUGUAAACUUCUUUUAUAUGGGAAUAAAACGUUCCACGUGUGGGAUUUUGUAUGUACCAUAUGAAUAAGGAUCGGCUAACUCCGUGCCAGCAGCCGCGGUAAUACGGAGGAUCCGAGCGUUAUCCGGAUUUAUUGGGUUUAAAGGGAGCGUAGGUGGAUUGAUAAGUCAGUUGUGAAAGUUUGCGGCUCAACCGUAAAAUUGCAGUUGAAACUGGCAGUCUUGAGUACAGGAGAGGUGGGCGGAAUUCGUGGUGUAGCGGUGAAAUGCUUAGAUAUCAGGAAGAACUCCGAUUGCGAAGGCAGUUCACUGGACUGCAACUGACACUGAGGCUCGAAAGUGUGGGUAUCAAACAGGAUUAGAUACCCGGGUAGUC